GAUGAUGAACGCAGCGAAAUGCGAUAAGUAGUGUGAAUUGCAGAAUUCAGUGAAUCAUCGAAUCUUUGAACGCACAUUGCGCCCCUCGGUAUUCCGUGGGGCAUGCCUGUUCGAGCGUCAUUUACCCCUCAAGCACUGCUUGGUGUUGGGCGUCUGUCCCGCUUCGCGCGCGGACUCGCCCCAAAGGUAUUGGCAGCGGUCGUGCCAGCUUCUCGCGCAGCACAUUGCGCUUCUCGAGGCGGUCGAUCGGCGUCCACGAAGCUCACCUCCACCGUUUGACCUCGGAUCAGGUAGGGAUACCCGCUGAACUUAAGCAUAUCAAAAGCGGAGGA
rnacentral:misc_RNA from 1 species